rnacentral:rRNA from 1 species
CCCCGUACACAAAAGCGCAUGUGCUGUGAGCUCGAUGAGUAGGGCGGGACACGUGGUAUCCUGUCUGAAUAUGGGGGGACCAUCCUCCAAGGCUAAAUACUCCUGACUGACCGAUAGUGAACCAGUACCGUGAGGGAAAGGCGAAAAGAACCCCGGCGAGGGGAGUGAAAAAGAACCUGAAACCGUGUACGUACAAGCAGUGGGAGCA